rnacentral:pre_miRNA from 1 species
CAAGUUUAGUUCAAUGAGUGGAGCUUUGAUGACAAUUUGUUUUAAAAGCUCUACUGUAUUCGAACAAUAUG